GAUGGAUAGCUUGGUUUAAAUCGCGAUGAAGGACGUGGCAAGCUGCGAUAAGCUCAGGCGAGUUGCACGCAAACGUUGAACCUGAGAUCUCCGAAUGAGAAACUCUCUCUCUUUUGAGAGAAUUCUGAAAAGAAGGCACACGCCGGGAAUUGAAACAUCUUAGUACCGGCAGGAAAAGAAAAUAAAAAUGAUUCCCUUAGUAGCAGCGAGCGAAAAGGGAAGAGGGCAACCCGAAUCUCACUUUGAAAAAAGUGAGAGAUGUGGUGAAACAAAAUAGGGGCUAAGUCAGCGAGUCGAAGUUCUCUGGAAAGAGACGCCUCAGAAGGUGAUAGCCCUGUAGACGAAGCUGAUAUGCCCUUUGUUUCGAAGAGUAGGGCGUCCUGGAUUGGACGUCUGAAUACGGGAGAAUUAACUCCCAACCCUAAAUAUUGAUUUAAAUCCGAUAGCGCACUAGUACCGUGAGGGAAAGCUGAAAAGCACUCUCGCAAGAGGGUGAAAAGACUUGAAAUCUAAUAGUGUCAAAGUUGCUACGGCACUUCGGUGUUGUAGCGUACGUUUUGAAAAACGGGCCAGGGAGUUUAUCUCUGUGGCAAGGUUAAUGAAAAGAAGCCGAAGCGAAAGCGAGUAUGAAAGUGCGACUUAGUCACAGGGAUAAGACCAGAAGCCAGAUGAUCUAUUCCUGGGCAGGGCGAAGUUUCGCGAAAGCGAAAUGGAGGCCCGAACCGGUGUUGCGUGCAUGCACUCGGAUGACCUGGGAAUAGGGGUGAAAAGCCAAUCUAAUCUGGCGAUAGCUGGUUCCUGCUGAAAUAUACCUUGGUAUAGUCGUGUGUUAUAGCUCGUUGACGAGGUAAAGUACAGAUAAGUUCCGCAGAGCAUAAUUGCUACGGGAACUUUUCUAACUCAGAACUCGUCAACUGCUGGACACACGAAACAGCCGCAGCGUGUAAGACGCUGUGACGAGACCCGAACAAGGGUGACCGAGGUUAAGGUCCCAAAAUAUUUGCUAAGUGUAUCAAAAGGUGUCUUUAUCCUGAGACAGUAGGGAUGUAGGUCUAGAAGCCGCCAUCAUUUAAAGAAAGCGUAACAGCUCACCUAUCGAGGAUAAAGGCCCUGAAAAUGGACGGGACUAAGCAAAUUACCGAUACCUCGGAGGUACCUGGUAUUAGGUACUCUGGUAAGCAGGCGUACUAUCUGCGUCGAAGCUCCAAUGUAAAUUGGAGUGGAGCGGAUAGUAAUGAGAAUCCUGGUGAUAGUAGGAGCGGAUCUUUCUGAGAACCGAAAGAUGUCGAAAGGGCACGGUUUCCUUAGCACUAUCAAUUAGCUAAGGGUUAGUCAGCACCUAAGUCGCAUCUUAACUGAAUGCGACGAUGGGCAACAGGUUAAUAUUCCUGUACUGAUUACUUUCGUUGAGUUAUCAAACAAGCUUCUGGAUAGGCAGAGUGCCGGAAGGCAUAACAAAAGAGAAGCAAACGGAUCGUAAUGAAGAGAAGUUUGCGAAUCUUUUGUGAAUCUGCUGAUUCCAGGAGCCAGUGAAAAGUUUGAUAACGAGAAAGUAAUCAGCUGUACCAAGAACUGACACAGGUGCCCUGGCUGAGCAGGCCAAGACAUGAAAGGUUAAACUGGUUAAGGGAAAUCGGCAAGUUGGUUCCGUAUCUUCGGUAGAAGGAAUGUCUAUUCUCCUGUAUGAUUUUAUUAUACGGGGGAAUAGAUCGCAGUGACAAGGACGGCCCGACUGUUUACCAAAAACAUAGCCAAGCGCAAAUCCGAAAGGACUAGUACGCUUGGUGAAGUCUGCCCAGUGAUGGUGUCCGAAAGCUCCUUUCAAGGAGUCGAAGGCCCAUCAAACGGCGGGGGUAACUAUGACCCUCUUAAGGUAGCGUAAUGCCUUGUCGUCUGAAUGGCGACGUGCAUGAAUGGCUUAACGAGGUCGUCACUGUCCCUAACCAGAACCUUCCGAAAUCACUUACCGGUGAACAGGCCGGUGUCACCUAGUGGGAAGCGAAGACCUUGUAAACCUUUACUGCAACCUGUUGUUGUGGUUUUAUUGUGGGUGCCUAGAGUAGGUAGGAGCGUAGAUGUCUAGCUUCGGCGAAGACGGAGCGAAAGUGGAACACUACCCACUCACAAUAGAACCACUAAUCUUUUUGAGACAGCAACAGGCGGGCAGUUUGGCUGGGGCGGCACCCGGUUGAAAAGAUAUCAAUCGGGCCCAAAGACAAACUCAUCCAGGUCGGAAAUCUGGAGUAGAGUGUAAGGGCAAAAGUUUGUCUGACUGUAUUUCGAAAAGCAAGAAAUACAGGGGUGAAAGCCGGGCCUAGCGAACCACCGAUGUCUUUUAAUGGGACACGGUGAUGACAGAAAAGGUACUUCAAGGACAACAGGCUUGUCGCCCCCGAUAGUCCACAUUGACGGGGCGGUUUGGUACAUCGCUGUCGGCUCUUCCUAACCUGGGCGUGCAUAAGCGCCCAAGGGUGCUGGAGUUCACAUAUUAAAAGGAAUCGUUAGCUGGGUUAAGAACGUCGUGAGACAGUUUGUAUGAUAUCUACUAGGUGUGCCAUUGUCUGAGCGGAAGGAUCUCCUAGUACGAGAGGAACGGAGAUUCGGAGCCUCUGGUCUACCAGUUGUUACGAGCAGGCUGGGCAGCUACGCUCCAUGCUGAUAAGUGCUGAAAGCAUCUAAGCACGAAGCAGCCCGCAAAACGAGACAAUAAAGGCCGCCAUAGAAGAUGGCGUUGAUAG
rnacentral:rRNA from 1 species